AGCAAGAUAACCAAGGUAGCCGC
rnacentral:siRNA from 1 species